CGCCGUGGCGAUGCAGAUGUUGCGCUGGCGGGCUUCCUGCUCGAAGGCCUCGAUGCCCGUCUCCCCGUAGUCGCCCUCCGAGGCCACGGUGGACACGUAGGUCCAGUUGAAGAAACGCAGGAUCUCAGCCAUGGCUUUGGCCUGGUAGAAGUCCGGGGGCACGGUCCUGGCAAAGUAAUCAUAGCGCGACUUGUCGCUGAGUUUCGCGCUCGUGGACGCGUAGCUUAUCUGAGGGAUCUGGAAGAGCCUUAGCAGGACUCGGAGACCCUGAACAAAAUGGCCAACACCGAUUCAUUUGAACAUAGGAGUGCUGUUUGUUUACUCAGCCUGAUUGAUGGGGGAAUAAGCAAGUACUGUUAUUACUUCUAGACUGAUUACCUGGCUUUCUUCGGAUUUAUGUACCAUGGCUGCAGACUGGCAGUAAGAGAGAGCCCUGUCUGCGCUCAGGCUUGGCUUGGAGAAGACUUGGUGAAAAGAGAGACUUACUGGCUGGGGAAGUUCCAGAUGGUGAAAGAAAAGACCUUGCCCAAUCCCUCUUGCCUCUUCCCUCUAUUCAGUGAGAAUGUUUCCCAACGUGGAGAUGGUAAUACAAUUAAAUGAAAAUCUUAUCUUGCAUCA